CUGACCUGAAACCCAAGCCCUGCCAAGCCCAGGCAGGCGACAGCUCAUCCACAAAUUCGUGAGUGAGAAAGAAAUGCUUGCUUCUUUAGGCGCCGGAAGGCUGUGUUUUAUGCUUUGUCAUUGCAGCCAAACGUAAAACACCUGCGCGAGGAACAGUGUCCCACCAAGUGCCAGGAGCACUCUCCCCUUGCUGCUCUGAAAACGCUGGACAUGGUACAUGAACAGGAAGCAGACUUAAUCCAGGACGAUGCGGAGGCAGCUGAGAAGCAUGGGAGAAAGUGUCUCUAUUAAGAAGGUCGGCGCCACCCC
ensembl:lncRNA